AUGGCCGCCAUCGUCGAGAACGUCAUGGGCUGGCGCCCCGGCGGUGUAAAUACCGUGGCAAGUGCCGCCUCCCUCUCCCCCGCCGUCGACUACGACGGCGAGGACCGCAUCAGCGCCCUCCCCGACGACCUCCUCCGCAGCAUCGUCUCACGCCUCCCCGUCAAGGACGCAGCCCGCACCGCCUCCCUCGCCUCCCGCUGGCGCCACCUCUGGCGCUCCACCCCGCUCUCCCUCAACGACGCCGACCUGCCCCGAUCCGUCGUCGCCCGCGCCCUUGCCGACCACCCGGGCCCCUUCCGCGCCAUCCACAUCACCCGCUGCCGGUUCGCGUCCCACGAGCGCGAGAUCGCAGAGUGGCCGCGCCUCUUCGCUGCCAAUGGCAUCCAGCACCUCGUCCUCGUCAACGACGCCAACCUCGCCAGGUUCCCCCCGACGCCGCUCCCCGCAGACAUCCUCCGCUGCGCCUCACUCCAGCGCCUCUUCCUGGGUUUCUUCACGUUCCCGGACACCGCUGGUCUCUCCCGCCGAGCCGACGUCCUGCCCCGCCUCCAGGAACUCAGCAUGUUCACGACCAGCAUCAGCGACGAGGACCUCGACUACAUGCUCGCUUGCAGCCCGGUUCUGGAGAAGCUCGCGUUCGUGCUCAGCUAUACACCCGAUUUCAUCCAUCUACGGAGCAGAAGCCUCCGGUGCGUGCUCCUCUGGAUCUUCAUGGCAGACGAGGUUGCCGUGGUGGAUGCCCCGCUCCUGGAGCGGCUCUUCUUGCUGGAAGCGCCCCGUGGAGGACAUGCUGAGAGUACUAUGAUGAUCAAGAUUGCUCAUGCGCCCAACCUGCAGGUGCUCGGCUUCUUGGAGCCAGGAUUUCACCGGCUGCAGAUCGGCGACAAUGUCAUUGAGCCUGGCACAAAGCGGAGCCCAAGCACAGUGCUUCCAAGCAUCAAGAUAUUGGCAUUUAAAGUUAAUUUUGGUGUCAUAGAGCAUGUCAAGAUGCUGGUGGCCUACCUCAGAUGCUUUCCCAACAUUGAGACGCUGCACAUCGAGUUCCAGUCUUUAACUGAACCCACUGGAAGGAACCAUGCCAAGUUCUGGCACGAGCUCUCUACUAUUGAAUGCAUCAAGUCCCACGUCAAGAAGAUGGUUAUCCAUGAAUACAGAGGGAACAAAGUUGAACUUGAAUUCCUUAAGUUCAUCUCCACGAGCGCGCAAGAGCUCCAAGCUUUGUAUGUUCUGCUGAACAGAGAGAGUCUUACUUCGGUGGCCAAGGCGGAUAAGAUGACAAGCAAACUGGUGGCUCUCUCGGGUGUACCAUGGAGCUGUGAUUGUAAGAUGAUGGUGCUAGGCCCUAAAUUUCAGAAUGACUGGAGCAUCCAGAAAGCAUCUGAUCUUACCGUCGACGACCCUUUCCAUUGGUGA
rnacentral:rRNA from 1 species